UACAGAGGUCUCAAGCGUUGUUCGGAUUCAUUGGGCGUAAAGGGUGCGUAGGCGGCCACCGCAAGUCAAUUGUGAAAUCUCCGGGCUUAACUCGGAAAGGUCAACUGAUACUGCGGGGCUAGAGUGCGGAAGGGGCAACUGGAAUUCUCGGUGUAGCGGUGAAAUGCGUAGAUAUCGAGAGGAACACCUGCGGCGAAGGCGGGUUGCUGGGCCAGUACUGACGCUGAGGAGCGAAAGCGUGGGGAGCAAACAGG
rnacentral:rRNA from 1 species